GACGAACGCUGGCGGCGUGCUUAACACAUGCAAGUCGAACGGACAGGCCCUGCUUUUGUUGGGUGCUCGAGUGGCGAACGGGUGAGUAACACGUGAGUAACCUGCCCUUGACUUUGGGAUAACUUCAGGAAACUGGGGCUCAUACCGGAUAGGAGCUCCUGCUGCAUGGUGGGGGUUGGAGAGUUUCGGCGGUUGGGGAUGGACUAGCGGCUUAUCAGCUUGUUGGUGGGGUAGUGGCUUACCAAGGCUUUGACGGGUAGCCGGCCUGAGAGGGUGACCGGCCACAUUGGGACUGAGAUACGGCCCAGACUCCUACGGGAGGCAGCAGUGGGGAAUAUUGCACAAUGGGCGGAAGCCUGAUGCAGCAACGCCGCGUGCGGGAUGACGUCCUUCGGGUUGUAAACCGCUUUCGCCGGUGACGAAGCGUGAGUGACGGUAAUGGGUAAAGAAGCACCGGCUAACUACGUG
rnacentral:rRNA from 1 species